UUACGCCCAGAUCACGUCGAAACAACGGUUCCGUACGAUCACCGAAGUUAAGCAACGUUGAGCCUGGUCAGUGCCUAGAUAUGUCCCCGCUUGGGAAUACCAGGUGUUGUAAG